ACGCCUCUCAGGUUCUGGCGAAGACCUCGGAAUGGGCCAGAAUCCUUGUCGGCCGGACGCUACGGCGUCCGGCUUUUUUCU
rnacentral:ncRNA from 1 species